AACAAAAAAACAAAAGGAACCUAAACCAUGAAACUCAAAAACAUGACUCUCUGCCUCGCCACUCUCCUCACACAAAACCACUCUCAGUGCCUUAUUCUCAAUGAGAAAUGAGAACCGCACACCAAUCUUCUCAUUCUUCUUCUUCUUCUCGAUUUCGCUCUCGCUCUCGCUCUCACUCUCCAUCAUUCCAGGUUCUUCAUCACUCAAAUUUCUUUCCAGUUUUCAUCUCAAUCUUAAUCGCGCUCUAAAUCCUUUUUCUCGGACAAGGUUGUGCUGAUUUUGAUUGAACUCAAUCGCGCUCUAGUAAUCAGAUAUGAGUUAAUUCUCUCUCGAUUCUGAUUUUUGUGCUCCCAAUUUGUGUUCUAUUGCAUCCUUUUCCCAUAUCUCUUAUCAAUUUUUCUCCCACAUUGGAUUCCGCUUUUCUUAGUUCCGAUUCCUAUCGCAUGCACUUAUUGCAGGUUGAACUCGUAAUUCAUUGAUUUAGAAUCAAAGUUUCGAGUAUUUUCUUUGCCCAAUGACGUUAUCGGUUUCAGAUUUUGCAGGUCUCACAAUAGUCACCGUCGCUCUGGAUCUGGUUCCCAUAACAAAAUACGGGUAUCUGAUAAUGAAAGUUUUGAUAGCAAUAAUGGCUUGACCACAGGGGCUAUUAUAGGCAUUAUUAUAGGUUCAAUAUUGGUGGCUGUUAUUUUGAUACUUGCUCUUUUCUUCUAUGUCCGAAAGCAAAAGGGGAAGGAAAAGGUUACAAGAACUUCUAGUGGGAGCCUUCCUCAUGGAACUACUAAUGUGAAUCCUCAGAUGCAAGAGCAGAGGGUAAAAAGUGCAGCUUUGAUUAUGGAUCUCAAGCCUCCACCUGUUGAGCACAUCGAGUUUAUAAAGGCUCGGCACAUCGAGUUCAUAAGAAAAUGUGGUAAUAGUUCAUAAGAAAAUGAUGAAGAGUGAGUGAAAGAAAUGAAACAACAAGAGUAAAGACGAGCAACGAUUUACUGCGGAUACCGCUAAGCUCAGAAAGUCCUAGGAACCAUCCAUAUCCUCUACUUUUCUGGAUAAA